UUCAAAUGUCAGUGUGUCCACAGGAGAGA
rnacentral:piRNA from 1 species